rnacentral:rRNA from 1 species
UACAGAGGCCUCGAGCGUUAGGCGGAAUCACUGGGCUUAAAGCGUGUGUAGGCGGAUGUCUAAGUACCUUGUGAAAUCCCAUGGCUUAACCAUGGAACUGCUCGGUAUACUGGAUGUCUUGGGCCACUUAGGGGGUCACUGGAACAAAUGGUGGAGCGGUGAAAUGCGUAGAUAUCAAGAGGAAUACCUGAGGUGAAAGACGGGUUGCUAGGCCGACACU